rnacentral:misc_RNA from 1 species
CAAGUGACCCCGGUUUACCACCGGGAUGUUCACAACCCUUUGUUGUCCGACUCUGUUGCCUCCGGGGCGACCCUGCCUUCGGGCGGGGGCUCCGGGUGGACACUUCAAACUCUUGCGUAACUUUGCAGUCCGAGUAAAUUUAAUUAAUAAAUUA